UAGUAGGGUUGUUGCCACCCACUUUCUCCUCGAUAAGGAGUAAUUUACUAUAUACUAAAUGUGAGUGCACUGUUCCUGACUGUUCAUAAGGGACGGAAAGGACGGUUCUGUCCUUACUUUAUCUUUUUUUACGCCUCUGUCAUUCACUCUCUCUUUCACCUAAAGCGAAUUGUUUCUCCUUUCUCUCGCUCUCCUACUCCCCUCGCUUUGAACCGUACGGAUCUUUCAAAUUUCAAUUGGUUUUUGAAGAAAGCCCAGAAGCUUCAACUUGAAGGCACCAAUCAAAGAACACAAGUUUGCAAUUGGGAGAGAGAGUUGUGCUUAGAAGACGAAGGAAUUGGGAGAGAGAGAGAGAGAGUUCAGAGUUUCUGCCAUUGGUUGUUGACCGAAGCUAGAAUGACAGACUGAUCGGUGUUCGGUGUUUGCUUGCUUUUGGCCAGGCAAGUUACUGAAGGAGGAAUGUGUUAAAUGGUUACAACAUGGAGAAGACUGUAAAAGUAGUUGGGCUCCCUCCCUCUAUGAACUAGAGAACUUCAUUUGAUUACUAUUAGUUGUUAGUUCAGUUAGAAAGCAAUUGAUAAUUGUUAUAUAACUUGAACGACGUGAUAUACCCGCAGCAAAGCGCGGGAUCGUUAAAAUCAUUCAUUAAAAUCA